rnacentral:tRNA from 1 species
GGUGAUAUAGCUCAGUGGUAGAGUGCUUGCCUAGCAGGCAGAAGGCCCUGGGUUCAAUCCCCGCUAUCUCUC